AGAGUUUGAUCCUGGCUCAGGAUGAACGCUGGCGGCGUGCUUAACACAUGCAAGUCGAACGAUUGAAGCUGGAGCUUGCCCUGGCCGAUUUAGUGGCGGACGGGUGAGUAACGCGUGGGUAACCUGCCUCAUACAGGGGGAUAGCAGUUGGAAACGACUGGUAAAACCGCAUAAGCGCACGGUGUCGCAUGACACAGUGUGAAAACACUCCGGUGGUAUGAGAUGGACCCGCGUCUGAUUAGCUAGUUGGUGAGGUAACGGCCCACCAAGGCGACGAUCAGUAGCCGGCCUGAGAGGGUGAACGGCCACAUUGGGACUGAGACACGGCCCAAACUCCUACGGGAGGCAGCAGUGGGGAAUAUUGCACAAUGGGGGAAACCCUGAUGCAGCGACGCCGCGUGAGUGAUGAAGUAUUUCGGUAUGUAAAGCUCUAUCAGCAGGGAAGAUAAUGACGGUACCUGACUAAGAAGCACCGGCUAAAUACGUGCCAGCAGCCGCGGUAAUACGUAUGGUGCAAGCGUUAUCCGGAUUUACUGGGUGUAAAGGGUGCGUAGGUGGUGAGACAAGUCUGAAGUGAAAAUCCGGGGCUUAACCCCGGAACUGCUUUGGAAACUGCCUGACUAGAGUACAGGAGAGGUAAGUGGAAUUCCUAGUGUAGCGGUGAAAUGCGUAGAUAUUAGGAGGAACACCAGUGGCGAAGGCGGCUUACUGGACGAUAACUGACGCUGAGGCUCGAAAGUGUGGGUAGCAAACAGGAUUAGAUACCCUGGUAGUCCACACUGUAAACGAUGAUUACUAGGUGUUGGAGGAUUGACCCCUUCAGUGCCGCAGUUAACACAAUAAGUAAAUCCACCUGGGGAGUACGACCGCAGGGUUUGAAACUCAAAGGAAUUGACGGGGGCCCGCACAAGCAGUGGAGUAUGUGGUUUAAUUCGACGCAACGCGAAGAACCUUACCAAGUCUUGACAUCCUGCGACGGUUCUGGAAACAGAAACUUUCCUUCGGGACGCAGAGACAGGUGGUGCAUGGUUGUCGUCAGCUCGUGUCGUGAGAUGUUGGGUUAAGUCCCGCAACGAGCGCAACCCUUAUGGUCAGUUACUACGCAAGAGGACUCUGGCCAGACUGCCGUUGACAAAACGGAGGAAGGUGGGGAUGACGUCAAAUCAUCAUGCCCUUUAUGACUUGGGCUACACACGUACUACAAUGGCGUUAAACAAAGAGAAGCAAGACCGCGAGGUGGAGCAAAACUCAGAAACAACGUCCCAGUUCGGACUGCAGGCUGCAACUCGCCUGCACGAAGUCGGAAUUGCUAGUAAUCGCAGAUCAGCAUGCUGCGGUGAAUACGUUCCCGGGCCUUGCACACACCGCCCGUCA
rnacentral:rRNA from 1 species